rnacentral:rRNA from 1 species
AUGACAGAUGGGUUCUCCGAGGAUCGGGAACUUGGAAGAGGCACAUAUGGAAAAGUCUAUCUGGGAUUGCGUGCGAAUGGGGAGAAGAUUGCUGUGAAGAUGCUUCAUCCCAUUCUAGGACUUGAUGAUGAGCUAUUUGAGAAGGAGUAUCACAACCUUGAAAUUCUCCAACACAAGAAUGUUGUGCGUUUAGUUGGCUAUUGCAAUGAAACUCGGCGGGAAUAUGUGCCAUACAAUGGGAAAAUGGUUCUCGGUGAAGUGACACAUAGGGCGCUUUGCUUCGAGUAUAUGCAAAAUGGAAGCCUUAAUGAUUAUCUCUCUGAUGAAUCUAGUGGACAUGAUUGGCACACACGCUACGCAAUAAUAAAAGGAAUUUCCAAGGGUUUGAAAUACCUUCAUGAGGAACUGGAACCUCCGAUGUUUCAUUUGGACUUAAAACCAGACAAUGUAUUGCUGGAUGAGAACUGCGUGCCUAAAAUUGGCGAUUUUGGAUUGUCAAGGCUAAUCGAUGAACGAACGCGUAUCACUACAAGUUCUGUAGGAACAAUUGGGUACUUACCGCCGGAAUAUAUAAAUCAUCAUGUAAUUUCUAAUAAAUUGGACAUAUUCAGCUUGGGUGUUAUAAUCAUAAAGAUAAUGGCAGGACCCAUGGGCUACUCAAAAAGUGCUGAAAUAUCUUCCCAACAAUUCAUUGAGCUUGUACAUAGAAAUUGGAGGAAUAGGCUACAUGCAGCAUCAGUGAAUGCACUGGAGUCCUAUUGCAUACAAGUAAAGACGUGCAUUGAAAUGGCUUUAACUUGUGUGGAGGUUGACCGACAUAAAAGGCCGACUAUAGGAAACAUCCUUAAUAAGCUAAACGAGACAGAAACUGCAAGUCAAUUUCCUGAUGCGCUACUAAAGGACCCUGGGUCAACAAAGAACCAGGAAAGCCAGCAAACUCACAUAACAGAAGCAGAAGAAAAACAGGAGAGAGAAGUGAGCGAAACAGAGAAUUGCUUUGGUGAAGUAGUCGACAACUACAAGUUGGAUAAAAUGGAAAGGUACAUGGGCAAACACAAGACACGGGAGGAUCGAGCGCGAGAGGCAUGGAACCUGGUGGACGAGCAUGACAAGGACAACGAAGUUUCUAGGUAUGUCAAGGGUCUGAAGUCCCUCUACGGCAAUGGACAGUCAACGUUGUGCCAUGUGUAUAAUGCGACCGGAGACACCCUCUACCAAGUCGCCAACUACGACUGGUCUGGCCACAUCGGCGGGGCUCCAUACCCAGCUACGAUUGGCAACGGCCAGUGGGCAGCAUUUCAUCACAUCCACCGGGCCGGCGAGUCGUCAGGUUCGGUAGCCGCUGUCGUGUACCGAGGGAAAAAUAAACAUGGCCAAGAUAAGGACUACAUAGUUGCCUGGAGUACCCCAUGUAGUUUCUGGCACCGCAAUAAGGCUUAUUGUGGGAUCAGUGAUGUCAACUGGUUUCAAAAGAACUUGGAGCAGCUUAUGUACAUAAUUUCCGAUGCUGAUUAUUCUUGUAGCUACAGAUCGGGCGGGUGUGAGAUUGAAGCAAAAAUUAGCAGAGGUCACAGCCCUAAGUUUACUGCAAGAAUCAGUUAUCGCUGA